GACAGAGGUGCCAAGCGUUAGGCGGAAUCACUGGGCUUAAAGCGUGUGUAGGCGGAUGCCUAAGUACCUUGUGAAAUCCCCCGGCUCAACCGGGGAACGGCUGGGUAUACUGGGUGUCUUGGGUCAUCUAGGGGCUGCCGGAACAAAUGGUGGAGCGGUGAAAUGCGUAGAUAUCCAUAGGAACUCCGGUGGCGAAGGCGGCGUGCUGGACCCUUUCUGACGCUGAGGCGCGAAAGCCAGGGGAGCAAUCGGG
rnacentral:rRNA from 1 species